GUGACUGCGGAGGACAUUAUUGUGAGGGGAGGUGCUGAGGUUGUCGCUGACUUUAGCUUGGCCCCGCCCGCGUUUACACUCUAUCGUUGCUCCAGCUCGCCCCGUUGUCCAUUGCGGGCUGGGGACCCCUUUGGCCUACUUAUGACGGGGGUUUUAACGUUUUUAAUGACUCACAUCAUUUUAAUGCUUUAAAUAUUAAGUCUUACUUUUUGCGAUCCCGGGCUAUUAAAACAACUUUCCACAACGGAUCAAUUGGCUCUAAUUUCAAAAUUCAACGAAUCGAAAUGCCUUUCAUAAUGUGAAUUGCCCAGUGCAAUGAAUCAUGGAAUCUUUGAACGAGCCUUGUUCCCUUUGGUAUUCCUAAGGGGACAUCGGGGCGAGCGUCCUGACAUUCUCAAAACCUUCUGGGGUUCCCGACCGGCAAUAAUUUGAACACUGACUCCCCUUGCUGGGCUUUCCGGUGGAUCCCCGCUCCCCCCAAUUUUUUUAGGGGGACCUGCUUUGCCGAUCCUUGACCUGAUAAAAUAAAUCUACGUCUUGGGCCUAGGACUGUUUGCUCUGGAUCCUGCUUCUAACCGUCUCAUAGAGCACAAUGACCACUUGGCCUACAAACCUUGACCUCAAAUCGGGUGAGACUACCCGCUGAACUUAAGCAUAUCAAUA
rnacentral:sRNA from 1 species